CCGAGCCUGGGAGCUGGCACCGGCCGCUGCCACCACCCCGUGUCCCCACGCGAGUCCCGUGUGACCCCGCAGAGCCCCCUUGAACGGGGUAAUCCCGCUGUGCCACAUCCUUGUGCCCCCACGCAUGUCCCCUGUGACCCCGCAGAGUCCCUUGUCCUGGAGUUACCCCGCUGUGCCACAUCCCUGUGUCCCCACGCAUGUCCCCUGUCCCCAGCCAUGACCCAGCAGAGCCUCGUUUAACGGGGUUACCCUGCUGUACCCCAUCCCCGUGCCCCCACACAUGUCCCCUGUGUCCCCACUCAUGUCCCCUGUGACCCUGCAGAGCCUCCUUGAACGGGGUAACCCCUUUGUGCCACAUCCCUGUGUCCCCACGCAUGUCCCCUGUCUCCAGCCAUGACCCAGCAGAGCCCCCUUGAACGGGGUAACCCCGCUGUACCCCAUCUUUGUGUCCCCACACAUGUCCCCUGUCCCCAGCCAUGACCCAGCAGAGCCUCGCCUAACGUGGUUACCCCGCUGUACCCCAUCCCCGUGUCCCCACACAUGUCCCGUGUGACCCCGCAGAGCCCCCUUGUCCCAUCCCUGGGGUGACCCCGCUGUGUCCCCUCCCAGACCAUUCUCCUGUCCCCGUCACCGUCACCGCGGCCAUCGGCGAGGACGCCUGCUUGCCCUGUGGCACCCAGCCCUGGGCUGACCUGCGCGGGGUCACCCUCAGCUGCACCCACCAGGCUGGUGGCCACCACGCUGUCCCCGUCCUUAGCCACCGCCUGGGCUCGCAGCCGCCGCCCCCCGAGCCGAGCUGGCAGCCCCCCGUGCAGCCCGACAGCCGCUUUAGGGGCAGGGUGGCUUUCUGCGCCGCGGGGACCGCCGACAGCGACAGCGGCGUGUCGCUGCUGCUGAGGAACCUCAGCCACGCCGAUUUCGGGAAUUAUUCCUGCUACGCCUCCCGAGCCGCGGCCCCGCAGCUCCUCUGCUCGCUGCUGCUGCAGCCCGCAGUGGCAGGGGUCCCCGGGGCCGCCGAGCCGGACAUGCUGAUGGUGAUUUGUGUCCUCACGGCCGCCUUCACCGCGGUGGCCAUCGGGGUCAUGGUGUGUGCCCGCUGCCAGGGGCACUGCUGGGGGCGCAAAGCGCGGGGCUCAGCCCAGGAGCCUGGAGCUGCAGCUGGAGGGGAGGAAGGACAGGUGGCCUUGGGUGACAUGAAGAGUCUCAACACCUGAGGCCACCCCCAGCUGUGACAGGUCCAGGUGUGACACUGGAACAGGAAUGGCCUCGACUGCCCCAAACGGCAGGGACAGGGCUGGGGCAAUGCUCUGGGGCAGGGGUGCAGGCGGGUCCCAUCCCAUCCCAUCCCAUCCCAUCCCAUCCCAUCCCAUCCCAUCCCAUCCCAUCCCAUCCCAU
rnacentral:lncRNA from 12 species